AGAGUUUGAUCCUGGCUCAGGAUGAACGCUGGCGGCGUGCCUAACACAUGCAAGUCGAACGAAGCGAUCAAGAUGAAGUUUUCGGAUGAAUUCAAGAUUGACUGAGUGGCGGACGGGUGAGUAACGCGUGGAUAACCUGCCUCAUACAGGGGGAUAACAGUUAGAAAUGACUGCUAAUACCGCAUAAGCGCACAGUACUGCAUGGUCUGGUGUGAAAAACUCCGGUGGUAUGAGAUGGAUCCGCGUCUGAUUAGCUAGUUGGCGGGGUAACGGCCCACCAAGGCGACGAUCAGUAGCCGACCUGAGAGGGUGACCGGCCACAUUGGGACUGAGACACGGCCCAAACUCCUACGGGAGGCAGCAGUGGGGAAUAUUGCACAAUGGGGGAAACCCUGAUGCAGCGACGCCGCGUGAGUGAAGAAGUAUUUCGGUAUGUAAAGCUCUAUCAGCAGGGAAGAAAAUGACGGUACCUGACUAAGAAGCCCCGGCUAACUACGUGCCAGCAGCCGCGGUAAUACGUAGGGGGCAAGCGUUAUCCGGAUUUACUGGGUGUAAAGGGAGCGUAGACGGUGAAGCAAGUCUGAAGUGAAAUACCCGGGCUCAACCCGGGAACUGCUUUGGAAACUGUUUUACUAGAGUGCUGGAGAGGCAAGCGGAAUUCCUAGUGUAGCGGUGAAAUGCGUAGAUAUUAGGAGGAACACCAGUGGCGAAGCGCGGCUUGCUGGACAGUAACUGACGUUGAGGCUCGAAAGCGUGGGGAGCAAACAGGAUUAGAUACCCUAGUAGUCCACGCCGUAAAC
rnacentral:rRNA from 1 species